rnacentral:rRNA from 1 species
UGGGGAAUCUUCCGCAAUGGACGAAAGUCUGACGGAGCAACGCCGCCUGAGUGAUGACGGCCUUCGGGUUGUAAAGCUCUGUUAAUCGGGACGAAAGGCCUUCUUGCGAAUAGUGAGAAGGAUUGACGGUACCGGAAUAGAAAGCCACGGCUAACUACGUGCCAGCAGCCGCGGUAAUACGUAGGUGGCAAGCGUUGUCCGGAAUUAUUGGGCGUAAAGCGCGCGCAGGCGGAUAGGUCAGUCUGUCUUAAAAGUUCGGGGCUUAACCCCGUGAUGGGAUGGAAACUGCCAAUCUAGAGUAUCGGAGAGGAAAGUGGAAUUCCUAGUGUAGCGGUGAAAUGCGUAGAUAUUAGGAAGAACACCAGUGGCGAAGGCGACUUUCUGGACGAAAACUGACGCUGAGGCGCGAAAGCCAGGGGAGCGAACGGGAUUAGAUACCCCGGUAGUCCUGGCCGUAAACGAUGGGUACUAGGUGUAGGAGGUAUCGACCCCUUCUGUGCCGGAGUUAACGCAAUAAGUACCCCGCCUGGGGAGUACGACCGCAAGGUUG